UCCGUAGGUGAACCUGCGGAAGGAUCAUUAAUGAAUUUUAUGGCGGAAUUGUAGCUGGCCCCAACCGGGCAUGUGCACAUUCUGUUCAUUCCAUUCUCAUACACCUCUGUGCACUUUACAUAGGUUUGGUAUAGAAAAGGUCUUUAUUGACUUUGGAAAUACUGACCUAUGCUUUUAUAAACACUUCAGUUUUAGAAUGUCAUCCGCGUAUAACGCAAUAAAUACAACUUUCAGCAACGGAUCUCUUGGCUCUCGCAUCGAUGAAGAACGCAGCGAAAUGCGAUAAGUAAUGUGAAUUGCAGAAUUCAGUGAAUCAUCGAAUCUUUGAACGCAUCUUGCGCCCUUUGGUAUUCCGAAGGGCAUGCCUGUUUGAGUGUCAUGGUAUUCUCAAUACCCCAAAUCUUUGCGGAUAAGGGUGUGUUGGACUUGGAGGUUUUUGCAGGUAAUGAUUGUGUUACCAGCUCCUCUUAAAUGCAUUAGCAGAGAUAAUACUGCUACUCUCCAGUGUGAUAAUUGUCUACACUGUUAGUAGUGCGGUAUAACAAAAUGUCUAUGCUUCUAAUCGUCUUCGGACAACUUUUGACAAUCUGACCUCAAAUCAGGUAGGACUACCCGCUGAACUUAAGCAUAUCAAUAAGCGGAGGA
rnacentral:rRNA from 1 species